AAAUCCACAUUCAAACUGGAUGCAUGCGUUCAGCAACUGGAAGCUGAGUUCAUAUUUCAUUGCCCAACUACCCUGACCACUUGGGAAUCGCAGGUUUGGAAGGACCCACAGCCAUUCUGUGGAAAUGGAUCUGCUUUCAGGACCGAAUCUCAGACUUCUUGGGGAAGGUUUCAGUGGCUGCCUUUGCUGUGCAGACCUGGAGAUGGGUCUGAUGAUCGGACACCUGAAUUAUCUGUGUGGCUGAGUUUCAAGAAGACCUGCUGGGGUGAAAUGAAAAUGGUGCCUACUAGAAGCCCCAGUGGCUUUGCUGGUGGAGAUUUGCUCCUCCACUGGCUCUUCUUGUAGACACACGACUGCUACAGUAUCAAGGGUCUGAUGCAGACAUGACAAUGUCAAGAGGAAGAGGAGAGCCUCGCUCUUCCCAGGCUUUUGCUUUUAAGAGCAGAAAAACUUUCCCCAGAGUUCCACCAGCUCACUUCUCAUCUUACUUCUUUGGCCAGAACUGGCCCUUGUGCCCAUAUUGUCAGUCAAAUGCCGACAAAGGAAAGGGGCCACUAUGAGUGGUUUAGACUUGGAUUGGAUUUGUCCUUAUUGGAUUGUCCUUAAGUCCUUUGAAAAAGAAGUAUACAACAGAAUGAAAUCUUGACUCAGCUUUCAAGAAUAAAGAGGGUGAGAUGACUGAUGGAUGGCUAGCAAAAUCAGAUGUGGGCUCUGUCCUCAUGGAGCAUACAGUCAGAAGGGG
rnacentral:lncRNA from 10 species